GUUCCGUUGUAAUAUUGCAGACAUAUUCUAUCAUAUUUACAAUGAGGUAAUGCACCUACAUAUGUUAUAAUUAAAUGUACUUAAUUUUCCUGAAACAACUAAAUAAUGCAUUCGAGCCGCUGGGAGAGGUUAGUGAGUCGCGCAUGGAAUUAAGUUGCCAUGUAAUCAAAGUAUCACAAUGAUGCCUCCAGCUGAUUCUCUGCUGAAAUAUGACAACCCAGUCUUGGUGAGCAGAAACAUAAAAUAAGUCACCAAAGAUUGAUAUUCUUCUAAUCUCAAUGAGUACUGCAAAUUCAGGCACAGCCUCAAAGUGGCCCCACAACAGCCUGCCAUGACUGGACCUGUGUCACCUCCACCCAAACCCAAGACCCCCUCAGCCGAUGCCAACAAACCGAGGAGAUCCUCAAUGCCAUCCUACCACCCCGGGAAUGUAUGGAGACCAACCAGCUGUGGGUGCAGCAGGUGUCUAGCACGCUGUGUACCCGCAUGGAUGUGGUGCACCUAUAGAAUCAGCUGGACCCUUACCUCAUUGUAAAUAUGAUAGAAUGUCUGCAAUAUUACAACGGAACGAAAGUGUUGUAGUCCACAGCUGCAGCAGACAGGCCAGGGAGACUGGCAUUUGCCCAGUCCUCAGGGAGCUCUACUCCCAGUGCUUCGAUCUCCGACGUGUAGAACGAGAAGCGGGACCUAGAGAGACAGGUUAACGAGCAGAAGGCCAAGACGGAGGCCAUUGAGAAGAGGGAGACAGAGAAGGCAGGUGGAGAAGAAACACACAGAGGAGAUUUAGUUCCUGAAGAGAACCAACCAGCAGCUCAAGGCCCAGCUGGAAGGGUUCAUUGCGCCAAAAAAGUGACCCCUUCAUUCCACAAGUGAUCUAUAACUGGCAGAUUUCAGAUCGUCCAACACAGCAUUAUGUAAUAAGUCUACUUCAUAACCAUAAAGCAUUGCAUUACUAUAGCGGAAUAAAUAAAACAAUUCUA